GUAAAAGUCGUAACAAGGUUCCGUAGGUGAACCUGCGGAAGGAUCAUUAUUGAAUACGAUUGGUACUGAUGCUGGCUCUUCAUUGAGCAUGUGCUCGUUCCAUCUAUUUAUCUUCUCUUGUGCACAUUUUGUAGUCUUGAAUUGAAACCUCUCGCAGUCAAUGCGGUUUGGGAGAAUGUUAACCCUUCUCCUGCUUCUUCAAGGCUAUGUUUUCAUAUACACUAUAAAGUUACAGAAUGUCUUUUAACGACUUGUGCUUGUCGCAGUCAUUAAACCUAUACAACUUUCAGCAACGGAUCUCUUGGCUCUCCUAUCGAUGAAGAACGCAGCGAAAUGCGAUAAGUAAUGUGAAUUGCAGAAUUCAGUGAAUCAUCGAAUCUUUGAACGCACCUUGCGCCCUUUGGUAUUCCGAAGGGCAUGCCUGUUUGAGUGUCAUUAAAUUAUCAACCUUGCUCGCUUUUACCGGCUUGAGUGAGGCUUGGACGUGAGGGCUUUGCUGGCUUCCUUCAGUGGAUGGUCUGCUCCCUUUAAAUGCAUUAGUGGGAUCUCUUGUGGACCGUCACUUGGUGUGAUAAUUAUCUAUGCCAUUUGACUUUGAAGCAAACUUAUGGGAACCUGCUUAUAACCGUCUUCGGACAACCUUUGACAUUUUGACCUCAAAUCAGGUAGGACUACCCGCUGAACUUAAGCAUAUCAAUAAGCGGAGGAAAAGAAACUAACAAGGAUUCCCCUAGUAACUGCGAGUGAAGCGGGAAAAGCUCAAAUUUAAAAUCUGGCGGUCCUUGUGGCCGUCCGAGUUGUAAUUUAGAGAAGUGUUAUCCGCGCUGGA
rnacentral:rRNA from 1 species